rnacentral:rRNA from 1 species
ACACAUGCAAGUCGCGGGGCAUCAUGGCGAUAGCUUGCUAUUGCUGAUGGCGACCGGCGCACGGGUGAGUAACGCGUAUCCAACCUGCCCCAUACUACGGCACAGCCCGGCGAAAGUCGGAUUAAUGCCGUAUGUUCUCCGAAGAAGACAUCUGACUUGGAGCAAAGCAGCGAUGCGGUAUGGGAUGGGGAUGCGUCCGAUUAGCUUGUUGGCGGGGUAACGGCCCACCAAGGCGACGAUCGGUAGGGGUUCUGAGAGGAAGGUCCCCCACACUGGAACUGAGACACGGUCCAGACUCCUACGGGAGGCAGCAGUGGGGAAUAUUGGUCAAUGGGCGCGAGCCUGAACCAGCCAAGUAGCGUGCAGGAGGAAGGCCCUAUGGGUUGUAAACUGCUUUUAUGCGGGGAUAAACGAGGGGACGUGUCCCUUUUUGCAGGUACCGCAUGAACUCAAGGACCGGCUAAUUCCGUGCCAGCAGCCGCGGUAAUACGGAAGGUCCGGGCGUUAUCCGGAUUUAUUGGGUUUAAAGGGAGCGCAGAGCCGGAGGCUAAGCGUGCUGUGAAAUGUAGGCGCCCAACGUCUGAAUUGUAGCGCGAACUGGCUUUCUUGAGUGCGUGGGAAGUGGGCGGAAUUCGUGGUGUAGCGGUGAAAUGCUUAGAUAUCACGAAGAACUCCGAUUGCGAAGGCAGCCCACUGUUGCGUCACUGACGCUGAGGCUCGAAAGUGCGGGUAUCGAACAGGAUUAGAUACCCUGGUAGUCCGCACGGUAAACGAUGGAUGCCCGCUGUUUGCCCAUUAUGGGUGAGUGGCCAAGCGAAAGCAUUAAGCAUCCCACCUGGGGAGUACGCCGGCAACGGUGAAACUCAAAGGAAUUGACGGGGGCCCGCACAAGCGGAGGAACAUGUGGUUUAAUUCGAUGAUACGCGAGGAACCUUACCCGGGCUUGAAUUGCAGGAGGAGGAUGCCAGAGAUGCUGACGCCCUUCGGGGCACCUGUGAAGGUGCUGCAUGGUUGUCGUCAGCUCGUGCCGUGAGGUGUCGGCUUAAGUGCCAUAACGAGCGCAACCCCUCUCCGUAGUUGCCAUCGGGUUAUGCCGGGCACUCUGCGGACACUGCCACCGCAAGGUGUGAGGAAGGUGGGGAUGACGUCAAAUCAGCACGGCCCUUACGUCCGGGGCUACACACGUGUUACAAUGGGUGGUACAGAGAGCAGGGUGCCCGCAAGGUUGCCCGAAUCAUGAAAGCCAUCCUCAGUUCGGAUUGGGGUCUGCAACCCGACCCCAUGAAGCUGGAUUCGCUAGUAAUCGCGCAUCAGCCAUGGCGCGGUGAAUACGUUCCCGGGCCUUGUACACACCGCCCGUCAAGCCAUGAAAGCCGGGGGCGCCUGAAGUCCGUGACC